rnacentral:rRNA from 1 species
CAGCCGCCACGGUAAUACGAAGGGUGCAAGCGUUACUCGGAAUUACUGGGCGUAAAGCGUGCGUAGGUGGUGGUUUAAGUCCGUUGUGAAAGCCCUGGGCUCAACCUGGGAAUUGCAGUGGAUACUGGGUCACUAGAGUGUGGUAGAGGAUAGUGGAAUUUCCGGUGUAACAGUGAAAUGCGUAGAGAUCGGAAGGAACAUCUGUGGCGAAGGCGACUAUCUGGGCCAACACUGACACUGAGGCACGAAAGCGUGGGGAGCAAACAGGAUUAGAUACCCCCGUAGUCCCUGUCUCUUAUAC